UGAGGAAUAUUGGUCAAUGGGCGGGAGCCUGAACCAGCCAAGUCGCGUGAGGGAAGACGGUCUUACGGAUUGUAAACCUCUUUUGCCGGGGAGCAAAGGGCGCCACGCGUGGCGUUUUCGAGAGUACCCGGAGAAAAAGCAUCGGCUAACUCCGUGCCAGCAGCCGCGGUAAUACGGAGGAUGCGAGCGUUAUCCGGAUUUAUUGGGUUUAAAGGGUGCGUAGGCGGGCCGGUAAGUCAGCGGUAAAAGUAGCGGGGCUCAACCCCGUCGAGCCGUUGAAACCUGCCGGUCUUGAGUGGGCGAGAAGUGCGCGGAAUGCGUGGUGUAGCGGUGAAAUGCAUAGAUAUCACGCAGAACCCCGAUUGCGAAGGCAGCGCACCGGCGCCCGACUGACGCUGAAGCACGAAAGCGUGGGGAUCGAACAGGAUUAGAUACC
rnacentral:rRNA from 1 species